GCUCCCGGCGCCGCCGGCCCUUCCGCUUCCUACCGAGCACGGCGGCGGCGGAACAGCGCCUCCGAGCCGCCCGCGCCGGCGGCCUCCGUGCUGGUGACCCGCGGUACUGGAAGGCUCUCGUUUCUCCUCUGAGCCCAGGCUCCUCCUCAGGCCGGCUGGAAGAAUCACAGAAUCACAAAAUAUUCUGAGUAGGAAAGGGCCCGCAAAUGUUACCGAAGUCCAGCUCCUGUCCCUGAGCAGGUCAGCCUCAAGCAUCACAGCAUGUGCUUGAGAGCGUUGUGCGAGCGCUUCUUAGUGCUGUGACUGCUUCCCUGGAGAGCCUGUCCCAGUGUCCAUCCAUCCUCUAGGUGAAGAUCCUUUUUGUAAUAUCCAACCUACACUUUCUCUGGCACAGGUCCUGGCCAUUCCCUCCUGUCAUUUGUCAGCAGAGAGAAGGGGCUUUUGGAAGCUUCACCAGAGUGGCUCCGAGUGCCUCCGACAGCAGCCUGUCAGUGAGGCCUGGAGUUGAGCUUCACUCACCGGGUGUUCACACCAGGAAGCCUCAUAAUGAGUUGCCCUGCUUGCGAUCCCCCAGGAAGCAUUAGAUGUUUUCCAGAACUUCAAGUAAGAUCCUUGUUUUCUGAGGCUGUGCACUCUGAAAUUGCCUGUUGAAUAGAUGGAGUCUCUGUUGGAAAACUGCCAGCAAAGCUAGGGAUGUCCCCUCAGGCCUGGCCUGCUCGUGCUUUUCAUCUGCAAAGGAGAUUUCUUGGGAUUGGCCUGCAUGGAUGUAUAAAGGUUGCAGAAGCAGGAAACACAGCAAUUACUGCUGGAUCUGAAAGUUAAAGCUGCAGAUUUUAGGACAACUGUGUUCAUAUAAGGCGUGUAUAAUUUUUGCUUAAAAUAGGCUAUCUUUGACCAGUAAGAAGUACAUAUGUUAAGGUUUGUGAGAACCACAGUAAGUUUUGGUUGGUUGGUUGGUUUUAUAUGUAUUUUUUUUAAAACAGAAAAGAGAAUCUUAUUGUAAAUUUACUGGUUUAUUGGUGUCAGACUGUCCCAGAUGCUAGGUUCAUAUAUCAGCUGCUGUUAGCCCAUGAAGAUAUAGCUGAUGCUACUAAGAAUUACAUUUUAUAGCAUACUUUCUGAACACUGUAAUCCAGCCUUUCUCACCUAGACUACACCUCUCACAAUCCAUCUAGAAUACUAAAUAAAUGAAAAAACAAUUAGAGGCAGAUUCUAAAAUCUUGGAAAUAUAACUAAUAAAUAUGAAAGCUGGGAAAAAUUCUGUGCAGCAAAACCAAAUUAUCAUAAGUAGUAUAGCUUCUUUAAACUUUUUUUUUUAGUUGAAACAAUUCCAGAAUUUAAGUCACUUAAGGCUUGUCUUUAGGCCAGACUGACUGGAAAAUGUUUCAAUUUCAAUGAACCACUGUUUGGUUUAGUCUGAAACUGGUAAGACCUGAAAAGCUUCCACAAAAAUCUCAUUUAAAUAUAGUAAUGCCCAAUUUUGGUAAUGUAACAUGUACAGACAAGAUGUCCAUCAGUUUAGUUGGCAAUUUUGAAAGAUUUCCACUAAAUACUCCACAAUCUUCUGAAGCAUUUGGGAACCACAAAUACUAUGGACUUUUUUCCCUGCUAUUUAGAGAAUAAAUGUAGCUUACUUUCUACUAUUUUUUUUAUGCUAGUAUUUUUUAUUCCUGCUUCAGUGUGGUUGAUACAGUAAAGCUUUUUCUUUGUGCUCAGCUUUUAUUCUGCUGGGUGCUGGUUGGGCCUUUUGACCUGUGCUGGGGAUUUACUGACACAAAAUUGGAACAUAAUUUGUUUUUGGUUUGGACCAGAAUUUGAUGUAAUGUUUUUAACAUUUGUAUUCCACAUGCAUCUUCACAGAUUAUACUUACGGGCAAAGUAUUGGUGAACAUUUGAAAAUUAGCUUUCUAGACACUAGCUAGACUUACUAGCUAGUAAUCUUACUGUGGGAAUAAAACUGGGAUUUAAGAAAAGAA